rnacentral:rRNA from 1 species
GAUUUCUGGUACAAUGCACCUGGCCCGCCGCCCCAAAGGUGUGUGAGUGCCGGAGCGCGUUUACCAUCCUUCUAGACAACAAUUCUGCCGUUCACUCGGUGGGGUUGCCAUUCUAGAUCCUUUACUUUGAAAAAAUUAGAGUGUUUAAAGCAGGCUUUUGCUAUGAAUACAUUAGCAUGGAAUAAUAAUCUAGGACUUCGGUUCUAUUUUGUUGGUUUCUAUAACUGAAGUAAUGAUUGAUAGGGAUAGUUGGGGGUGCUAGUAUUGGCCGGCCAGAGGUGAAAUUCUUGGAUUCGGUCAAGACUAACUUAUGCGAAAGCAUU